rnacentral:tRNA from 1 species
GGGCGCAUAGCUCAGCUGGUAGAGCAGCUGACUCUUAAUCAGCGGGUCCAAGGUUCGAAUCCUUGUGCGCCCACCA